rnacentral:rRNA from 1 species
UACAGAGGGGGCAAGCGUUGUUCGGAAUUACUGGGCGUAAAGGGCGCGUAGGCGGCCUUCUAAGUCGAACGUGAAAUCCCCGGGCUCAACCCGGGAACUGCGUCCGAUACUGGAAGGCUUGAAUCCGGGAGAGGGAUGCGGAAUUCCAGGUGUAGCGGUGAAAUGCGUAGAUAUCUGGAGGAACACCGGUGGCGAAGGCAGUCUUCUGGACGGGUACUGACGCUGAGACACGAAAGCCAAGGGAGCGAACAGG